ensembl:lncRNA
GUGAAAAUGCAUAGUGGUUUGAGAAAUGUCGUAAAAAGCAAUACAUCAAUCUCCAUAACAUGAAAUACUAGCGAUUACAACCACAUGGUUUAUUUGCAUACUUCACUUAUCGGGAAAGAGAAUGAUCGCAUGGGAGGAUCGGGUAGGGGAGAGAAAGCAACAUCACCCGCAAGGGUUUUGAUCGGCCAACAUAUGUUUUCUGACUGCAAUGAGCGCAACUGACAUUUUUGACUUGCUAACUGGUUGAACGCGUUACAGUAGCCUAAGUAUAUAACAUGAGUGACAUGACCGUAAUAAUCAUAAUGGAAAGGCCUUGGAAGUGCCAUAAAUGGCGCCAGAGAGCCUUGCAUCACGCACUCCUGCCAUCCAUCACGCACACCUGCCUUCCCUCGUCACGCGCAUCAGCGAUAUUGGACUCACCUGGACUCACUCAUCACCUGUUUAUUUCCUCCCCUAUAUUAGUCAGUUCCCUGCUGUGUUCCCCACUGCUGCAUUGAUUGUGUUUUUGUCUUUGUUUUCUGUUUGCUAACGCUGUUCCUAUCUUGUUCAAUGUCCGUUGUUUAUUAAAUGUAACUCACCAUA